AUUAGAUACAGAAACAUGCAUUAUUUAUUUUUAGGUCAGUUGACAUUCAAACUAUGAAGUGUUUCUGCAUAAAUAUGGAAAGGCUCUAGCAUUUGUAGUUUAUACCGGCUAAUGUAGAAUAAUAGAAUCCAAAGCACGCGUUUUAGCUUUCCUUGUCUGCUUCCCCAGUAAGCGUUAAGUUCAGAAAAUUGAAACCCGCAGGCGUUCCUUUGCAGCAAUUAGGUGAACUGUGGCAGGAAAACCUUGUUUCGAUCGUUUAUGCUCUCAGCAAUUUGUGUCCCAAGCCUUACAACGUCCUUACGCCCUAGGUCCUCCCCUCCACUGAUUCCCAGGUGCCAUAACAUGUUAAUCAUCAUUCAUCAUCACAACCGCCCAUAAGUUGCAAGUAUAUCUCUUAGCUUUUUUGCUUCUGCAUCCAGGCUGUCAAAGCUAGUUGAACUAGGUAUCCUCCAACUCCAG
rnacentral:misc_RNA from 1 species